rnacentral:rRNA from 1 species
CUCCUACGGGGGGCAGCAGCCGCGGUAAUACGUAGGGAGCGAGCGUUAUCCGGAAUUAUUGGGCGUAAAGGGUGCGUAGAUGGCAUAGUAAGUCUUUUGUAAAAAUGCUGGGCUCAACCCAGUAGGGCAAAAGAUACUGCAAAGCUAGAGUAUGACAGAGGCAAGUGGAACUACAUGUGUAGCGGUAAAAUGCGUAAAUAUAUGUAAGAACACCAGUGGCGAAGGCGGCUUGCUGGGUCGAUACUGACAUUGAGGCACGAAAGCGUGGGGAGCAAACAGGAUUAGAAACCCUAGUAGUCCAGAUC